UACAGAGGUCUCAAGCGUUGUUCGGAUUCAUUGGGCGUAAAGGGUGCGUAGGCGGCGCGGUAAGUCGGGUGUGAAAUCUCGGAGCUUAACUCCGAAACUGCAUUCGAUACUGCCGUGCUUGAGGACUGGAGAGGAGACUGGAAUUUACGGUGUAGCGGUGAAAUGCGUAGAUAUCGUAAGGAAGACCAGUGGCGAAGGCGGGUCUCUGGACAGUUCCUGACGCUGAGGCACGAAAGCUAGGGGAUCAAACGGG
rnacentral:rRNA from 1 species